rnacentral:rRNA from 1 species
GACGAGGGAUCCUAGCGUUGCUCGGAAUCAUUGGGCGUAAAGCGGACGUAGGUGGCUUUGUAAGUCAGGCGUGAAAGCCCUGGGCUCAACCCAGGAAGUGCGCUUGAUACUGCUUAGCUUGAGUGUAGGAGAGGUAAGUGGAAUACCUGGUGUAGUGGUGAAAUACGUAGAUAUCAGGUGGAACACCGGUGGCGAAGGCGGCUUACUGGCCUAACACUGACACUGAGGUCCGAAAGCGUGGGGAUCAAACAGG